AUCGUGAAACCGCGAAUGGCUCAUUACAACAGCUAUAGUUCACUGGAUAUAACCCAGUUACAUGGAUAACUGUGGUAAUUCUACAGCUAAUACACGCUUCAAAACCCUGACUUUACGGAAGGGUGCGUUAGUUAAUUCAAACCAAUCAGACUUCGGUCUGCAUCCAAGUGAAAUUGAACUAUUUAGCUGAUCGCACGGUCUAAGAACCGGCGACAUAUCCUUCAAACAUCUGCCUUAUCAACUGUCGAUGGUAGAUUAUGCGCCUACCAUGGUUGUAACGGGUAACGGAGAAUCAGGGUUUGAUUCCGGAGAGGGAGCCUGAGAAAUGGCUACCACAUCCAAGGAAGGCAGCAGGCACGCAAAUUACCCACUCCCGGCUCGGGGAGGUAGUGACGAAAAAUAACAAGCUGGUCUCUAUGAGUUCCGGCAUUGUAAUGGGAACAACCCAAAUCAUUUAUCGAGGAUCUAUUGGAGGGCAAGUCUGGUGCCAGCAGCCGCGGUAAUUCCAGCUCCAAUAGCGUAUAUAAAGUUGUUGC
rnacentral:rRNA from 1 species